AAAAAUAGUAUACUCUGUAUAAAAUCUUAUACGAGCAUCGCUUGACAUUUGUAUAGAAGUUUUGCAUUGGAUAUUUGAUUAUAUUUCAAAGCAAUUCACAUAAUCAUUUGGCAUAUUUUGCUAUUAAUCACCAUUCACCAGUAGUUUCAACUUUCAAUUACAAAUUUCUUGAAAUUCUGCCUUGCAAGGAAAAAUGAACUAAUCAAAAAAAAAAAAAAAAAAAAAAAAAAAAAAAAAUUGCCGAACAAGGUCAAAUUAUUAAAUAAAUUCACAUAAAUAAUACUAAGUACUACAAUACAAAUACUAGUGCCCAACUGCUCAUUUCGCACCCAAAAACGACAAAUAUUACACAGUUCAAUACAUAUACGAGCGCUAAUUUGGCACUCGAAAA